rnacentral:rRNA from 1 species
UACGUAGGGGGCAAGCGUUGUCCGGAAUUAUUGGGCGUAAAGCGCGCGCAGGCGGAGCGUUAAGUCGGAUGUGAAAGGCUACGGCUCAACCGUAGAGCUGCAUCCGAAACUGGCGGACUUGAGUGCAGGAGAGGGGAGUGGAAUUCCCGGUGUAGCGGUGGAAUGCGUAGAGAUCGGGAGGAACACCAGUGGCGAAGGCGACUCUCUGGCCUGUUACUGACGCUGAGGUGCGAAAGCGUGGGGAGCAAACAGG